rnacentral:rRNA from 1 species
UACGGGGGGGGUAAGCGUUGUUCGGAAUUAUUGGGCGUAAAGAGCUCGUAGGCGGUCUGUCACGUCGGAUGUGAAAACUCGGGGCUCAACCCCGAGCCUGCAUUCGAUACGGGCAGACUUGAGUUCGGCAGGGGAGACUGGAAUUCCUGGUGUAGCGGUGAAAUGCGUAGAUAUCGUAAGGAAGACCAGUGGCGAAGGCGGGUCUCUGGACAGUUCCUGACGCUGAGGCACGAAGGUCAGGGGAGCAAACGGG